rnacentral:rRNA from 1 species
AGAGUUUGAUCCUGGCUCAGGACGAACGCUGGCGGCGUGCCUAAUACAUGCAAGUCGAACGAUAGCGACCGGUGCUUGCUCUGGUUGAUCUAGUGGCGAACGGGUGAGUAACACGUGGGUAACCUGCCCGUCAGAGGGGGAUAACAUUCGGAAACGGAUGCUAAUACCGCAUAGGUUCUUGUGUCGCAUGACUUGUGAAGGAAAAGAGGCUUCGGCUUCUGCUGAUGGAUGGACCCGCGGUGCAUUAUCUAGGUGGUGAGGUAACGGCUCACCAAGGCCGUGAUGCAUACCCGACCUGAGAGGGUGAUCGGCCACAUUGGCACUGACACACGGCCCAAACUCCUACGGGAGGCAGCAGUAGGGAAUCUUCCGCAAUGGACGCAAGUCUGACGGAGCAACGCCGCGUGAGUGAAGAAGGAUUUCGGUUCGUAAAACUCUGUUGUUAGAGAAGAACAGCGCAUAGAGUAACUGUUAUGCGUGUGACGGUAUCUAACCAGAAAGCCACGGCUAACUACGUGCCAGCAGCCGCGGUAAUACGUAGGUGGCAAGCGUUUGUCCGGAUUUAUUGGGCGUAAAGCGAGCGCAGGCGGUCAAUUAAGUCUGAUGUGAAAGCCCGCCGGCUCACCCGGGGAGGGUCAUUGGACACUGGAUGACUUGAGUGCAGAAGAAGAGAGUGGAUUUCCGUGUGUAGCGGUGAUAUGCGUAUAUAUAUGGAGAAACACCAGUGGCGAAGCGCGACUCUCUGGUCUGUAACUGACGCUGAGGCUCAAAAGCGUGGGUAGCACACAGGAUUAGAUACCCUGCUAGUCCACGCCGUACACGAUGAGUGCUAUGUGUUGCACGUUUCCGCCUUCAGUGCUGCAGUU